AAGAGCUAUAAAAAUUACACGGCGAGAC
rnacentral:sRNA from 1 species